GAACGCUGGCGGCGUGCYUAAUACAUGCAAGUCSGAACGAGUUCUCGUUGAUGAUCGGUGCUUGCACCGAGAUUCAACAUGGAAYGAGUGGCGGACGGGUGAGUAACACGUGGGUAACCUGCCCUUAAGUGGGGGAUAACAUUUGGAAACAGAUGCUAAUACCGCAUAGAUCCAAGAACCGCAUGGUUCUUGGCUGAAAGAUGGCGUAASUAUCGCUUUUGGAUGGACCCGCGGCGUAUUAGCUAGUUGGUGAGGUAAUGGCUCACCAAGGCGAUGAUACGUAGCCGAACUGAGAGGUUGAUCGGCCACAUUGGGACUGAGACACGGCCCAAACUCCUACGGGAGGCAGCAGUAGGGAAUCUUCCACAAUGGACGCAAGUCUGAUGGAGCAACGCCGCGUGAGUGAAGAAGGCUUUCGGGUCGUAAAACUCUGUUGUUGGAGAAGAAUGGUCGGCAGAGUAACUGUUGUCGGCGUGACGGUAUCCAACCAGAAAGCCACGGCUAACUACGUGCCAGCAGCCGCGGUAAUACGUAGGUGGCAAGCGUUAUCCGGAUUUAUUGGGCGUAAAGCGAGCGCAGGCGGUUUUUUAAGUCUGAUGUGAAAGCCCUCGGCUUAACCGAGGAAGCGCAUCGGAAACUGGGAAACUUGAGUGCAGAAGAGGACAGUGGAACUCCAUGUGUAGCGGUGAAAUGCGUAGAUAUAUGGAAGAACACCAGUGGCGAAGGCGGCUGUCUGGUCUGUAACUGACGCUGAGGCUCGAAAGCAUGGGUAGCGAACAGGAUUAGAUACCCUGGUAGUCCAUGCCGUAACGAUGAAUGCUAGGUGUUGGAGGGUUUCGCCCUUCAGUGCCGCAGCUAACGCAUUAAGCAUUCCGCCUGGGGAGUACGACCGCAAGGUUGAAACUCAAAGGAAUUGACGGGGGCCCGCACAAGCGUGGAGCAUGUGGUUUAAUUCGAAGCAACGCGAAGAACCUUACCAGGUCUUGACAUCUUUUGAUCACCUGAGAGAUCAGGUUUCCCCUUCGGGGGCAAAAUGACAGGUGGUGCAUGGUUGUCGUCAGCUCGUGUCGUGAGAUGUUGGGUUAAGUCCCGCAACGAGCGCAACCCUUAUGACUAGUUGCCAGCAUUUAGUUGGGCACUCUAGUAAGACUGCUGGUGACAAACCGGARGAAGGUGGGGAUGACGUCAAAUCAUCAUGCCCCUUAUGACCUGGGCUACACACGGUGCUACAAUGGGAUGGUACAACGAGUUGCGAGACCGCGAGGUAAGCUAAUCUCUUAAAGCCAUUCUCAGUUCGGACUGUAGGCUGCAACUCGCCUACACGAAGUCGGAAUCGCUAGUAAUCGCGGAUCAGCACGCCGCGGUGAAUACGUUCCCGGGCCUUGUACACACCGCCCGUCACACAUGAGAGUUGUAAACUCGGAAGUACGGUUGACCSAAWWARGGRGCGAGCCGUCUAAGGKGGGACAAAUGAUUAGGGUGAAGUCGUAACAAGGUAGCCGUAGAGAACCUGCGGCUGGAUCACCUCCUUUCU
rnacentral:rRNA from 1 species